CAAGCGGUGGAGCAUGUGGUUUAAUUCGAUGCAACGCGAAGAACCUUACCUACUCUUGACAUCCAGCGAACUUAGCAGAGAUGCUUUGGUGCCUUCGGGAACGCUGAGACAGGUGCUGCAUGGCUGUCGUCAGCUCGUGUUGUGAAAUGUUGGGUUAAGUCCCGCAACGAGCGCAACCCUUAUCCUUUGUUGCCAGCGAUUCGGUCGGGAACUCAAAGGAGACUGCCGGUGAUAAACCGGAGGAAGGUGGGGAUGACGUCAAGUCAUCAUGGCCCUUACGAGUAGGGCUACACACGUGCUACAAUGGCGCAUACAAAGAGAAGCGACCUCGCGAGAGCAAGCGGACCUCACAAAGUGCGUCGUAGUCCGGAUCGGAGUCUGCAACUCGACUCCGUGAAGUCGGAAUCGCUAGUAAUCGUGGAUCAGAAUGCCACGGUGAAUACGUUCCCGGGCCUUGUACACACC
rnacentral:rRNA from 1 species